GACGACGACGACGACGAGAGGAGGGGAAGCAGCAGAGGAGGAGGAGGACCCGAGGCUCCUCUCCCACAGCAGGCCCGGAGCCCGGCCUUUUCCCGCUCAGAUGCUCAGUCCCGAAGCCUCAAGGCCGAGCCUCCUCCGUCGUUCCUGACAGGAGACUCCAUCCGGCCAUGGGUUUUCAUCCUUUCCAGAACGCACGGAACUUCCCAACUCAACAGGCCUCGACGGCCACGGGAUGGUGGCAGAAGCGAGAGCGGGAGGAGUGGACAGCGGCGGGUCCAUUAAUGCUGAGACUGCACAACUGAGUUCUGCUAACUCAACCCACACCCCGAGCCCCUUCCGAUCCUGGCCAGCCCGAGCCAAACCCCGGUGCCCGGGCCUGGACAGGUUCAGGGUCGCAUGGCAUGUGUCUGCGGGCCUGGUGGUCAUCAAUAACAGGUCCGGCCUUUUUCUUUUUUUAAAUAAAAAACAAAAACACCCGGUUAGCGGGUGGCAUCUGCUCCAAAGUGGGUCCUCGGUAUAAGUGGUUCCCUAGAAUCUGUGUUCUGUAAGAUUUGGGUUCAGUUUGUUAAGCGAUCGGGCAAAUUUUCCCCUGAAAUUGGAACAAACAUCCAAACUAAAGGCUCUGGGGAAGUGAGGCAGGGAGUCCCGAGAGCCAGACUCCAACCUUGUCGCCGGCAGAAAGUCCACCUCGAAUGGAACGCCUUCCCUCGAGUGUUGUGUCUCGGGGGCCCCUUGGGAGCUCGGGAGGCUCAUCCCAGAGAGCUUGUAAAAACAGGAGAGGUGGGCAGUUGUAAACUAUUAAAACUGAGUUUGCCAUUCA